UAUUUACAUAGUCAAUGCGUAUGAAGUGUACUAGACAAGCUAUACAAGAGGAGUUCACACUGGCCAAAUGGCCGGUCCUGCGAUUAGUUGAGGCUGUCGUGUUUUGUUGAGGCUUGGGCAAUUGUUCUAAGGCGUGUCAGGAAAGAAGAUGUGUCAUGUUGCCAAGGCCACUGGUGCCACUGUGGGGGAGAACUAGUACAGAUUGAGCGGACAAGCAGUGGAAUUCAAGCAGUUGAACAUCCAUGUUUGGGAAGCCUUUGAGAAUGGGCAGGAUAUCACAAGCAGGGGAGUAUAGGAUAGAAGAAUGUAAAAAGAUUAUAAAUAUAUCUUUUUUCGUUCCAAUCGUAAAUAAAUAUAUAAAUAGAAAAUUAGUUAUUAUCUAUGUAAAUAAUUUAUGUAUCGCUCUAGU